UUCUUGGUGGUCCAGUGGCUGGGACUCUGUGCUCCCAAUGCAGGGGGCCUGGGUUCAAGCCCUGGUCAGAGAA
rnacentral:tRNA from 1 species